UAAGAAAUCAACAGACACACUGGAAAUCAGACUCUUGGAGGAUGGAAAUGGACUAUAAAUAGUGUUCUCCAGUUACUGUGUCAUUAUCCAAGAUAUACUUUUCUUUAAUUAGACAACUGGGAAUGGAUUCAGAGUUCACCACGCCCACACCUCAUUUUGACAACACACUACACCACGGUACAGAGUGUAUUAAUCAGUAUGAGCUACAAGCUACUGACAUUUUCGCACAAGCUGUGCAAAUGCUCAUUUCAGUAACAUGAGCUUCAGGCAAGUGAUCCACCUACUUGAGAUAAACAGUGUGAACAGGAUUGUAAUGCUGCAACUGCAGUGUCACAACACAGGAAAACACCCACAUUAUAUAAUCUCUGUCUACAUACAUAUGUGACAAACUGGGAAUUUUCUGUAAUAUUUUAAUGAAACCGCUGCGUGCCUCAGUUUCCCUCUGCACUUCAUAUUGUUACCCAGUGGAGGGAAAAGUGUUAAGUCUGCUCAUGGAGGCAGGACAGGACAUGAGGUUCGGGUGUCACCUUGCUGUCUGGGCCACAGCGAAUAGGAUCAUUAAGGAACUGGCUCAAACCCGCCGAAAGUGACCCCACGUAAGUGCAGAAUCCAAAGAAAGCCCGAUGACCAGAACGUUGACACACAAUGACCAAGAGGAAGGAGCCCCCACCUCCUCUCACCCCAGCAGGGAAGCUAAGCAGAGACCCCAGCUCGAGAACAAAGGACUGAGACAUGAUCAGCAGAGGAUAAAGUGUGGGAUACUGGAGGAAGCUGGCUGCUCUCUCCUGGGACUGACAGAGAGCCUAAAAUGGAAUCCACUACAGCUUGGCUGGUGGUUUGCUCUGACUUGACCAGAAUGGGCUAUGCUUUAACUUUGAUUUCUCUAUGUGCGGUGUUCCAGUUGACUAAUAAAUCCUACUCUGUUCUGAAAAGUGUGUUUGGUGUCACUGCAAAUACUUGCUCAGUUGCGUUAAUCCCUGCAGGGUGGAUAAGUCUCUAACUAGGAGUCUGUCUCAAUGGGACUAGCUGGGCAGAGCUCACGGUGUGAAGCCAGGAGUGCUGGAGCCCAGAGGUUCAGCCUAGGAGGCGGUGAGUCUGGGAGGUCUACCCUUAAGCUAAAGAGUGGGUCUCCUUGGGGCUUGCCACACUCCAGGGGUUCCUCCAAGAGGCUGUUUAAAAGUUAGGGCAUAGUACUGAUUCUAUGGAAACGUGGCAAUAUAUUAGUGUACUCAGGGCUGGUAUGUUUUUAUAUCUUGUUCUGCUCAGUCAUCUGUGCAGGAAUUUAGCAGUAAGGAGAGAUCUACAGCUGGAUGACUAAAAAAGAAAAAAGUAAUUAAAUACUUUCCUGGAAACCCCCCAAAGCCCUAGCCACGGUGACCACAGCUAUAGACUUUGUGUAGGAUACUGUGGAUGUCAAAGAUUUAGAUGCUUGCCAUGCAGAAUCGUUGUACUGUGAGCUCCCACACAGUUGACAGUGCCCCUGCCUCAAAGCACCCACAAGUGUGUGACAGGUGAAAUAUGCACAGCCACAAAAACACAACCAUUCAAUCUUCAGUAUGUUUUUGUUGGUCUCUUAGCCCUACUUAUAACAUAGUUACAACAAAUAUAAGCACAUAUUACAACUUUUUCUACUUUUUUUUUUUAGUUGACCCCCAUCCCUCCACAAACAUGUCAGUCCCAAAUGACAAAAGGACAAGUUAUUUUGAAGGUCUGUGUUCUGCAACAGACAAAUGCUUCAGCAGCUCAGGGCAGUCAGUACAUAGUGUUCUGGGGUUAUGUAACUACGGAUUGCGAAAGAACAACCAGAACUUUGAAAACAGAAGCGAGCUGACAGCACUUACAGCUUCCCCUUAACAUCAUAAUUUGCCCAUGAAAUUACAUUGUGGAGAGUUAAAAAGCAGUACCACAGAAGUGAAUGUUGCAGGCUCUAAGUCCGUGAUGACUUCCACGGUAUGUGUUAGAAUGUGUUGGAAUGAGCAGGAGUUGUACAGUAAGGGUUCUCUGGAGCAGUGGGAACAGCUGCAAGGAAGAAGGUCCUUAUCCCUCACACCCUCAGAAUAGGAGUGUAUGGCUUAUGGGCAGCCAAAAGCAUCUCUGAGUGAACUCAGGAGUAAGCGUGGGAGCCUGAGGAUAGUGCAAUUGCUGAACGGCUAUGAAGAAAAGAGCCUGGGGCUACUGGAGUGAAUGAUGAGGCGCAGUUACUACGUUGUGGCAUUAAACUUUGUUCACUCGUCCCCAGUGCUCCAUGCUGGCAGGGAAGUCGAGAGCGGCCGGGGAAGAGGCAGAGAGGUCCCAGGCUGCUUACUCAGCGGGUGCCACAGCAGCCCCCACCAGGAGUAUCACCUGCAGCUCAAGCACUCCUGCUUCCUAGAACUCAGCUGAAUGCAUGACAUUCAAUUCAGGCUGUGGGAGUGUGAGAAAGGGUGCCGGUUCUGCGUGUGAGACAAGUUUUCUAAACAUGCUUGGCCCAGGUGUACCUCCUGCUGAAGUCAAUGGGGCUAGAGGGCAGAAUUGGCCUUCUGACUGCACAUUAAGAUAUGCUUGAAAUAUGUAGCCCAACAGGCCGAGACUCUGCAACAGGUGACUGCGGAAGGGAGAAGAGCUCUUGUGUGGAAGCAUUAAUGCAAGGAUCUGGGCUUUAACUUGAAUAAAUCACUAAAAUAUCAACUGAAGAGAAACCAGCAGCAAAUAAAAUAAAACAACAACAAUAAUAAUAAUAAAUUAAAAAUGAGCAGAGGAAAUGGCUUGUGUGUUUGCAAGUGCGGGGCUUCAGUGAAGAAUAUCAAUAUAAACUCACUUGCAGCCUAAUCCAUAUUUAGGCACCUAAAAAUGGGCCUGAUUUUCAGAGGGGCUGAGCACCCAAAAAUCCUGCUGAAGCAGUGGACGCUCAGAACCUUUGAAAAUCAGGCUGCUCUCAUUUAAGGCCACAAUUCAGCAAAGCACUUACCCAUGUGUUUAUGUACAUACCUAUUCAGCAAAGCAUAAUAGCUAAACCUGCUUAACCCUAAGCACAUGCUUCAAUCUAAUUUAUUAAAAUUAGGCACAUGUUUAAGGACCCCACUGAAUCAGGGCCUAAAUGAUUUGUCCAAGGUCACACAGGGAGUCUGAGGAAAAGCCAGGGAUAGAACCCUGUUCUCUUGACUCUUAGUUUUCCAUCUUAACCACAAGACCAUAAUAAUCCUUAUUUCUCAGAGUCCUAAACAUCUUCAAAUGAGUAAUGAAAUCAUGUUUUGUUUUGUUUUUUUCUUUAACUCCCUGUAUUUUCAUUCCCAAAUGAGAAGAAACUGCAGCGUUAUUUAUCAUCAUUGUCUUUCUUUAACAGGGAGGAAACCUUAUUGACUGACUGCAGUGUGCGAAAAGUGACAAAAGGUCUGUUAAGUAUAAUUCACUUUACUCUUACUAUGUAUCUUUAUUUUCCUCUAGGGAGUAUACAUUUUUAUCCAUUAGCAAACAGGCCUUCCGCUGAAUCUAAUACCCACAUACAUGCCUCUUUGCUAUGCAAGAACAGGCAAAUCUUGUACCAACCCUCCCUAUUCAUUAAGAAGCAAUGUGGUAUCAUAUACACAGCAGGGCUUUGUAUUAUUCCAUGUCUAUUUUGUUUGAGUGCUGUGCAUUUCUACUUAACAAAACCCCAACAAAACAAUGCUCUUGGCAAAGUGUUAUUGUUCCGACACACCUUCCCCAAUUAUUUCAGGGAAAUUCUAUGGCCUGUGAUAUACAGGUUAGUCAGACUAUAAGAUCACAAUGGCCCCUUUUGGCCUUUGAAUCAAUGAAUCUAUUAAAGUAAUUUUGGUAAUGGUCCUAUCAAAGGACCUAAUGUCACUGAGUUUUUUUUGCUUUAGACCUGAUAAAGGUUUGGGCUUCCUGGCUAUGUCUCGCAGAGUCAGAACUUGGUAACAGACUCAGCACUUUAAGGUGGAACGAUUUCUUCUCCUGAAUAAAAAUGCCAGGCUUGAGCUUACACCAGUAAUAGUAAAGUCUAACUAUGUACAGAUUUCCAUAUGGGCAAAAGCCACUCCUUAGUGGCUGCUACUCUGUGGCACCUCUGCAUUUCUAGUGAAUCUUCCUUUUAACUGGUCAUUUUAACAGUCUGAGGAGCAUUUCUUAGAACUGGAAUAAUUUUUAUCACUUUCAAAGAAUCGAAUGAAUAUUCACCUUGGCUUUUAUGAGUGUUUGUGUUUAUUCCAACAUCAUGGAAAUGUUUUGUGUUUAACUGCAGACCUUGCUUACAAACCACCCUACCCAGCUGCAGCCUACUGAGAAUCAUACUCCCAAACUGGAAACCUCACAGCGUAUCCAUGGAAACAAACCACCCUACUAAAGUGACUCGCAAGCAGUUCAAUCUGGAGGUCGGCGUCUACCUGAAUAAUGACUGAAGGACCACACAUCCAAAUCUGGCAUCAUCUCUGGUUUGCCCAGAGAUGGCAUAAUGGGAAGCAAAAGUAUACACUGAAGACCAAGUUGCCAAUUUGCAAAUGUCCAAAAUAGUCAGCUGGGCCAGAAAAGCCACAGAGACUGCGUGAGAUCUGGUCAAAUGCACUAGCACUCUAUUCAGUGGCAAUACAUCAGCCCGGUUGUAGCACAAAUUAACACAACAGGAGAUCCACAAGGAGAUCCUUUGAGGAGAGACUGGAAGAGACUCUGUCUGCAAUCGCUACAAACAAUGGAGAUGAUGACCUAAAUGGUUUAGUCCUGUCCAGGUGAAACGCUAAGGAUUAGGAAAGAAAGUUGAUCAAUAUAGUGCCUGAUUGAUGUGGACGUGAGAUAUCACCUUAGUGAGAAACUUCGGAUGAGGGCGUGGGAAUAUCCUGUCCUUGCAAGAGACCAUAUACAGAGGUCCAGAAACUAGUGUUUGUAAUUCGCCCACUCUCCUAGCUGAGGUAACUGCAACCAAAAAGUCUGUCUUUAUGGAAAGAUGGAGAAAUAAACAGGUAGCCAAUGGUUCAA